AUUACAGGUAUGCCAUGUUCCCGUCAUAAAUAUGACAUAGAAAUACCAGAUAUAAAUGAAGAAAGACUUGGUUUCAAGAAGGAACCUGGUUUGUUCGGUAUGCCAUGUUCCCGUCAUAAAUAUGACAUAGAAAUACCAGAUAUAAAUG